GACGAACGCUGGCGGCGUGCCUAAUACAUGCAAGUUGAGCGCUGAAGGUUGGUACUUGUACCCACUGGAUGAGCAGCGAACGGGUGAGUAAAGCGUGGGGAAUCUGCCUUUGAGCGGGGGACAACAUUUGGAAACGAAUGCUAAUACCGCAUAAAAACUUUAAACACAAGUUUUAAGUUUGAAAGAUGCAAUUGCAUCACUCAAAGAUGAUCCCGCGUUGUAUUAGCUAGUUGGUGAGGUAAAGGCUCACCAAGGCGAUGAUACAUAGCCGACCUGAGAGGGUGAUCGGCCACAUUGGGACUGAGACACGGCCCAAACUCCUACGGGAGGCAGCAGUAGGGAAUCUUCGGCAAUGGACGAAAGUCUGACCGAGCAACGCCGCGUGAGUGAAGAAGGUUUUCGGAUCGUAAAACUCUGUUGGUAGAGAAGAACGUUGGUGAGAGUGGAAAGCUCAUCAAGUGACGGUAACUACCCAGAAAGGGACGGCUAACUACGUG
rnacentral:rRNA from 1 species